GAACGAAAGAUCCCGACUUAUUUUGAAUGAUUCAUAAUUCACUUGGUUGCAAAUAUCCACAUUCGUUAUUUUGAAUGAUUUGAUGGAAUAUGAUGCAACCACCAUCUAUUCAAUGAAAAUCAUUCAGUUCUUUGAUGAUUUUCAGUAUACAUCCAUAUGACAAUAAGUAGGUAGAUGAAUUAUUGUAGCUGAAAUGAAUAACAUCCAGCUUAUGGGGGAUUUUAUUUUCUUCCAUGUCCCAAAUCGAAAAUCAUUCAAUCAUUGUUCAAAACAUCAUACGGUAAGCUAAUGAUGCAAGAUAGCAAAUCAUCCUUGUCAAACGUAGUAAAAACGUGGCGGCAACAGCGUGGUUGGUUCGGUACCUCUUCGUCAAUAUUACAGCUUGUCUAAGGAUCGACUCUACCCAGAUGUUUCUAUUAUCAUCAUCGAUUUUAUGGAGUUUCAGCGUGGUAUCUGUUCCUGCAGGAGAUUCCGAACUGAACCUAAUAGAUUAUAAUUAAGGUGUUUGAUUGGAUCUGCAUAUAUGAAUAAAACUAAACAAUUGUUCAUGGAACCUGAUUAGCGAUUAUUUAUUUUGGAUUUGUAUUAUUCAAUAUUAACUAUCAUAUAGAAGGGGUUGUUUACAUUCGCGUAAGAUAAUCAUUCAAUGUAGCGUAUCUUUUAAGUGGAU